AGUGAACGCUGGCGGUAGGCCUAACACAUGCAAGUCGAACGGCGGCACAGUAAGAGCUUGCUCUUACGGGUGGCGAGUGGCGGACGGGUGAGGAAUACAUCGGAAUCUACUUUUUCGUGGGGGAUAACGUAGGGAAACUUACGCUAAUACCGCAUACGACCUACGGGUGAAAGCAGGGGAUCUUCGGACCUUGCGUGAUUGAAUGAGCCGAUGUCGGAUUAGCUAGUUGGCGGGGUACAGGCCCACCAAGGCGACGAUCCGUAGCUGGUCUGAGAGGAUGAUCAGCCACACUGGAACUGAGACACGGUCCAGACUCCUACGGGAGGCAGCAGUGGGGAAUAUUGGACAAUGGGCGCAAGCCUGAUCCAGCCAUACCGCGUGGGUGAAGAAGGCCUUCGGGUUGUAAAGCCCUUUUGUUGGGAAAGAAAAGCAGCAGGUUAAUACCCCGCUGUUCUGACGGUACCCAAAGAAUAAGCACCGGCUAACUUCGUG
rnacentral:rRNA from 1 species